AGCGGGCGGACUCGGAAAAACAUUGAUAAGACCUUUCCGUUCCGUACCCCGUAUAUCGUGUCAUCGUGACAUUUAUGUCAUGAAUUCUGAAUUAUAUAGAUUAUUAUAAUAGAAGUCUAUAAUAGCGGAUAAUAUAAAUUGUUCUAUGAUAAUAGAAGUCUGUAGUUUGUCGCCGUCCGCCGGGCGGCGACCAACGUUCACCAACCACUAUUAUAACCGCCAUUAACCUAACCUUUUAUAUUAUGUUUAUUGUUUGUCAACGAUUUUUCCAAUCUGUGAUUUAGUAUUUUACUCAUAUAAUUUUGUUAAUCUUUACUAGUUAACUACACCGGACUUUUAGGUGGACUAGCACUAAAGUACCUACUACUGUUCUAGAUUCUGGACCUGAACAUUACCUUUAAAACAUUCUGUGUGGUGUGCUCGAGUUUUGAUGCCAUCUCUGGCUCUGUGGAUCACCCCGUCAUUCUUGUAGAGACGUAAAUUCAUUUUUGACAGUGAUCUUAUAGUAUGUUCAUCAUUAUAAGUUGUCAGUAUUUGAAAAAUUGCACGUAAAAUACUUUAACUAGGAAUUCAUUAUCAUUUGUAAGUAAUAAUAUAAUAUUAUUAUUAAUUCAACCAUUUAUAUUUGGCAUUUGUGGGCCAAUCUUACUAAAUUACCGUCUAUGAGGAUAUCAUGUUAAUGAAUUAUGAGUAAAAUCCUAUUUUGCAAUUUGAUAUUUAUGAGGGGUCUAAUUACCGAAUUGAUGCUGGUGUGACAUCCUUUUUUAGAAAAUCUCAUAAAUCAUACAUCAAAUCGGAAGAUCGGCGAGACUACAGUUCUCGGGGAUGUAACAUUCAAACUGUGGAACACCAAUAUCAGUUAUUACAGAGAUCUUACCAGAAAGGGUCUGUUUAAAGUUCACAGGUGUCUCUUGCAAGUGAUGCUCUAAGAAAUAACUCAUUACCUGUAAUAUAUAAAGGGGCUGGUGGAGAUGUCAAUGCAAUAUUCCAGAACUUAAAUCUCAGGAUGUUUUUUGGAUCAUAGUGAAAAAAAUUAACUCUUCAUAAUAUUUCUCUAAAAUCUCCACCUAAAACAAAAUGUAUUGGAUGUGAUAAUAUAUUUUAUUCAUUAAAUGCACUUCGACUUAUUUGUGUCAUUUGAUUAAAGACCAUAAUGUCCUCUCUGUUGAAGUUGGUGGAUUAGUUCAACUUGUAAUUGAAGAAAAUUAUAAAAAAUUGUUAUACAACAACAAUCAUAAACCUGAGAAGAAGCCAAUAUCUAAGACAACAACGGCCAAGAUUCAAAAAAAAUUUUUUGAACAAUUUUUUGCAACUUGUCGACUGAUUUUGAAAAUCAAAAAAUAUUGAUCAAAGAAAAAAAACGGACUCUACUAAUUACAAGACUAUUAAUGGGCCUGUAUUAUACUAUUGUGAUUAGUGUUAAUUUAUUUGUUAAAAAGUUAUUUUGGAUCAUAAUAUGACCUGUCUCUUGUAGAUUUUAUUUAUAAAUUUCAUUAUUUAUUUAUCCUCAUAAAGUAUACAAUUGAUACUAAUUUUAAUUAAGAAAUAUUAGUGAGGCACGAUUUAACCGCUCACAUCAAUAAUAACUAGCCAUAUUGCUUCAGAUGUACAUUUAACUGGCAUUCAUUUUAUAAUGGACUCCAAUCGCAUUAUUUUGUGAACCAUACUAUUUUCAAUUAUAUAAUAUAUUCCCAGGGUUCAAAAGAAUUGCACAAGUAAAUUCAUUUCUAUUAAUAUCUUGAUUAGGUAUCUCUUUUCAGAAACAAAUCACCCAAUUGCAUGCAAGUAUUAGAUGUAUUUAAAUUAUCAUCAGAUUUCUGGUAUGUAGCAAAUAGAUUCAUUAUUCAUACAAGUUUCUUGACAUUCUGUCGCACUGUGUUGCUAUCAUUGACUUAAAACAUGUUGAAAAGCCACUACAGCCAAGUUUAGGUAAUUUGUCUUAAAUAAUAGAUUGGCGUAUGUCUAAAAUUGCAACACAGUGAGGCAGAAUAUCCAGAAAUUUAAAGUAAUUUAGGAGAUGGUUAUUAUAAGACAGGCCAAUUUGAAAAAUCUAUUUUUAAUUAUAAAAAAAAUGUAAAAAAAAUUUCUGAUCUAAUACAUGUGUUAAUUUGGGGAUAACUUAUCUAAAAGUUACAGAGUUACAAAACCCAACUAAUGAAUUUCUAAAAGCAAUAGAAUUAGAACCAGAAAUUGUGUCUGUUUAAAGAAAUUGAGCAGUUACAUACUGUCAUUAAGUAAAUAUGGUAUUGUCUGUUGGAGUAAAAAAAAAUUAUUGAAAUUUCAACCUGAAAAUUGAUAUAAAUUUAGAAUUAGCUUUAAUAUGUUUGUAUAACCUUAAAAAUUAUCAAGGAGCCGUAAUAUAUUAUUUUAAAAAAUGUAUCCAGUUAAAACCGGAAAGAAAAUACCUGUACACGAAUCUAUAUGCUGCAUACCAGAAAUCUGAUGAUUAUUCAAAUGUGUCUAAUACUUGCAUGCCAUUGGGUGAGUUGUUUCUGGAAAGGGAUAAUCAAGAUAUUAAUAUAAAUGCAUUUACUUGUGCAAUUUAUUCUUUUGAAACCAGGGAAAGGCAGAAAGCAUUCCCGAUCGUAAAAAUAUUUUUAAAAAAUUGCCACUUGACAAGGCGUUUCUGACAGUAUCACAAUCAAGGGGAUUAAAAUUAUUAAUUUUGCUUUUGAGAAAUAAUAUAAUAGAAGUCCAAUGUAGGCUUUACAUGUCGUGUUGUUGCGGACUGUCGUUAAUUUAUUUGUGAAUGCAAGUACUUAUCUACCAAUGCCUUAGCUAGGAAUUUUUUUCGUUAGGGUUGGACAUUCUUUAUUGUAUAAUUCCUUUUUUUUUUUUUGCUUAAAACAUAACGUAAACAUAAAUUUACAAAAUCUGCUGUUUAAUAUGUUAAGAGUUUAUUUAUUUAUUUUUAUAUUUAUGGUUUUAGUUUUAAAACAAAUUGUUUUUAUUUAUUUGAUUUGUAUUUUUGACACAUAAUGUGUAUCAAUCUAUUUUAUUCUCACUAUAAUAAGAGUAUAAAUAAUAUGUAUAGUAUAGUUUAUUUAUUUAAAAUUUGUUAAUAAAACACUAAUUACUUAUUCCA